AACGCACCUUGCGCCCCUUGGCUAUUCCGAGGGGCAUGCCUGUUUGAGUAUCAUGAACACCUCAACUCUCAUGGUUUGCCAUGAUGAGUUGGACUCUGGGGGUUUUGCUGGCCUGUGGUCGGCUCCUCUCAAAUUAAUCAGCCUCCCAGUGUUUGGUGGCAUCACGGGUGUGAUAAAUAUCUACGCUCGCUGUUGUCUGCCAGGUAACCUUUGGUCACAAAGGUUUGCUGGAGCUCACAGAUGUCUCUCCUCAGCGAGGACAGCUUUUUUAACGUUCGAUCUCAAAUCAGGUAGGACUACCCGCUGAACUUAA
rnacentral:ncRNA from 2 species